ensembl:snRNA U6 U6 spliceosomal RNA
GUGCUCGCUUCAGCAGUACAUAUACUAAAAUUGGAAUUAUACAGAGAAGAUUAGCAUGGCCCCUGUGUAAGGAUGAUAUGCAAAUUCAUAAAAACAAGGCAUGGGCUG